ACAUCUUUCACCAAUCUGCUACCUCACGACGUAAUCUCGACCUGCUACUUCUCUCAAAGCCCUCGCCACCUCCUGCCUCCGCCGUCCUUGUCGUCGCCGCCUCCAUCCCUUCCGCCGCCGCCGCCGCCGCCUCUGCCUCCGUCCCUGCUGCGCCGCUGCCUCUCUUGUUUUGGGUCGCUUCCUGCACGGUUGUUGCCCUGUUCUCAUUAUCAUCCUUUCGAGACUGUAGCUUUGAAGAGCGUUGCUUCCACCGUGUAAAUCAUGAUGUGGAGACUCCAUGUAGCUUCCAUUGCUCAAUGUUCAUUAUUGUUCUAACUCUUGAUCUUGCUCUUUGUUCAUCAUCGCUCCUAUUCUCGAUCAUGCUUUCUUUGCUGUUUGAUCCUGGAUUUAAUGCUCUAACUCAAUGGAUCUCAUAGGCUCUAACUCAAUAGCUCUAUUCGCUAUCAAAAAUCCCUCUUAUGCAGUAUUUCUCGCUCAAUUUCAUCAAUCUAGGUCUUCUCAAGAUCUGAUGCCUUAGUUCAAUAGAUAGUUUAGUCGAAGCUUGUUGUGUUUUAGAUUAAUGUUAGGGUUGUUUUUUUUUUUUUUGCUAGAUUGAUAUUUCAAUUAACAUUGCUUUGUUACUUUCAUCGAGGUGAACAAUGUAUGGUUAGAGGGAACACCCAUCAGUUCCCCUUUCAGCGCUCUGGAAGAGCGAAUUGGCGAAUGAGAAAACUAAGAACCGGAGAUGGUAGAGGCUAGCGAGAACAAGAAAGGAGAGGAUCUCAUGCUACUAAAAAUCGAAUGCCAAAGGGUGGUGGCCUGGUGGGAGAUGGAGUGUGUACAUACUCUGUUUUUUUAAGGAUCAGGAGGUAUUCGCCGACUGAAAUUGAAGGCAUACACAAGAAUAUAUACGAGAUGGCAUUGACUGGGCUAAAGUUGAAUUAUACCUGUACCCUUCCUUGGAUGCUGUCAUUUCGGUUCAAACUGAUUUACGGAAGGCACACUUCCAUUAGCAAUGGAUUCACUCUUCUCCUUAUCUCUCUAUGUGGAUAAUGAUGUCUUAUGCUUGAUUGUGUUGUGUUUAUUAGGGUUUCAUUUCGAUUACAUUUCAAAUUUGUUGUUUUGUAUUUGAUUUAGGUUUGAAAUUGAUAUUGUCAACUUAUAAUUUUUAUUUCAGAUCUUUCUCUCUUUGAAUGCUGCAAUUUAAGAUUUGGAUUUGUGGGAGAUGGUGAUUCCGGUGUUGUGUUGCAGGUUUUGGAUGCAUGUGUCGAUCAUAAGAUGCGUUCAGUCUCUCAUACAAUACUUUCUUGAUUCUUCACUCUACUCCACCCUCACAACAUCGAUUCUCAGAAUUGAAGGGAAUAUGAAGAACACCUCUGUCCAAGCAUAGUUGCCUAUGCUACAGUCCCCGGAAAAGAAGCAGGUAGCUUGUACCGUCCACUUCACAAGUGACAAGAAGAACCAAAUUAACACCAUCUUCUUUUAAUGUGACAAAGUAAUGUGAGAAAGUCUUGAUUUGAUCAUUUAUGUGAAUGACAACUUCAAAGGCCAUCUCUGUUUCUUAAUUGAACACUAAGGUGGACAUGUGCUUCAAUGUUAAAAAUGCAUAUUGGCUAAGUGACGGGGUCAGAGAAGAUUAUACAAAUGCAUGAUAAAAACCAUAUCAAGAUGGAUGAGGAGCUUGAGAUUUCUUCCACCAGAACUAGAAAGCAGAAGUUUGUCUUCUCACAUUUGUUGUCUGCUUCCUUCUAUAUUGUAAGAUUGAUCCUUAUGCUAUCAUUUUAUCUUCAAGGGUCUUUUAUUAAAUUCUUUAAAAGCAUGCUUAAAUUUUGGUGAUUAAGGUAUUACAUCAAUGAGAUGUUACUGUGC